rfam:Echinostoma caproni strain Egypt genome assembly, scaffold: ECPE_scaffold0023003
GGCCUCGUAGCUCAGCUGGUAGAGCAUGCGCGUACAAAGCGUAGGCGGUGUCCAUGCGUGGGUUCGAAUCGCACCGAGGCUA